GAAACUAUAAUAGAAGGCAAUAA
rnacentral:piRNA from 1 species